rnacentral:rRNA from 1 species
GACGAACGCUGGCGGCGUGCUUAACACAUGCAAGUCGAACGGAAAGGCCCUGCUUUUGUGGGGUGCUCGAGUGGCGAACGGGUGAGUAACACGUGAGUAACCUGCCCUUGACUUGGGGUAACUUUAAGGAAACGGGGCUAAUAACGGAAAGGAGCUCCUGGUUCAUGGGGGGGGGUGGGAAAGUUUCGGCGGUUGGGGUUGGACUCGCGGCUUAUCAGCUUGUUGGUGGGGUAGUGGCUUACCAAGGCUUUGACGGGUAGCCGGCCUGAGAGGGUGACCGGCCACAUUGGGACUGAGAUACGGCCCAGACUCCUACGGGAGGCAGCAGUGGGGAAUAUUGCACAAUGGGCGGAAGCCUGAUGCAGCAACGCCGCGUGCGGGAUGACGGCCUUCGGGUUGUAAACCGCUUUCGCCUGUGACGAAGCGUGAGUGACGGUAAUGGGUAAAGAAGCACCGGCUAACUACGUG